AGCGAACGCUGGCGGCAGGCCUAACACAUGCAAGUCGAACGGACCCCUCGGGGUUAGUGGCGGACGGGUGAGUAACACGUGGGAACGUGCCUUUAGGUUCGGAAUAGCUCCUGGAAACGGGUGGUAAUGCCGAAUGUGCCCUUCGGGGGAAAGAUUUAUCGCCUUUAGAGCGGCCCGCGUCUGGUUAGCUAGUUGGUGAGGUAAUGGCUCACCAAGGCGACGAUCAGUAGCUGGUCUGAGGGGAUGACCAGCCACAUUGGGACUGAGACACGGCCCAAACUCCUACGGGAGGCAGCAGUGGGGAAUCUUGCGCAAUGGGCGAAAGCCUGACGCAGCCAUGCCGCGUGAAUGAUGAAGGUCUUAGGAUUGUAAAAUUCUUUCACCGGGGACGAUAAUGACGGUACCCGGAGAAGAAGCCCCGGCUAACUUCGUGCCAGCCGCCGCCGUAACAC
rnacentral:rRNA from 1 species